ACAUGAUGCCCCUCCCUGCUCCCAGCCGCUUCGGUCAUGUGACCGCCUGGGGAGUCAGGGGCGGAAGUCGGGGUCUGACCCGCUCCAGGUCCGGGACUGCGGAUAGAAGAGAACCGCCGCCGUGAGGGAGGGGUGGAAACUGGGUGCCGGCCCUGCGCGUGCGCCGCUGGCGCGGCCCGGCUGACAGGUUAAAAGACAGAGCUGAUCAACAGAAAUAUGGAGAUAUCAUAUUUGAUUUCAGCUAUUUUAAGGGUCCGGAAUUAUGGGAAAGCAAACUGGAUGCUAAGCCAGAGCUACAGGAUUUAGAUGAAGAAUUUCGUGAAAACAACAUAGAAAUUGUGACCAGAUUUUAUUUAGCAUUUCAAAGUGUACAUAAAUAUAUUGUAGACUUAAACAGAUAUCUAGAUGAUCUCAAUGAAGGGGUUUAUAUUCAGCAAACCUUA
rnacentral:sRNA from 1 species